rnacentral:rRNA from 1 species
GCCUGCCCGUGACCAAAGGUUCAACGGCCGCGGUAUUUUGACCGUGCAAAGGUAGCGCAAUCACUUGUCUCUUAAAUGGGGACCCGUAUGAAUGGCAUAACGAGGGCUUAGCUGUCUCCUCUUUCAAGUCAAUGAAAUUGAUCUCCCCGUGCAGAAGCGGGGAUAACCGCAUAAGACGAGAAGACCCUAUGGAGCUUUAGACACUAAGACGGCCCAUGUUAAACACCCCAAAUUAAAGGGCCAAACUAAAUGGGCCCCCGUCCUAAUGUCUUCGGUUGGGGCGACCGCGGGGAAACACAAAACCCCCACGUGGAAAGGGAGCACUACACUCCUACAGCCAAGAGCUUCCGCUCUACCAAACAGAAUAUCUGACCUUAAGAUCCGGCAAAGCCGAUCAACGGACCAAGUUACCCUAGGGAUAACAGCGCAAUCCCCUUCUAGAGCCCAUAUCGACAAGGGGGUUUACGACCUCGAUGUUGGAUCAGGACAUCCUAAUGGUGCAGCCGCUAUUAAGGGUUCGUUUGUUCAACGAUUAAAGUCCUACGUGAU